UACGGAGGGUGCGAGCGUUGUCCGGAAUCACUGGGCGUAAAGGGCGCGUAGGCGGCCUGAUAAGUAGGGGGUGAAAUCCUGCGGCUUAACCGCAGGGCUGCCUUCUAAACUGUCAGGCUUGAGCACAGUAGAGGCAGGUGGAAUUCCCGGUGUAGCGGUGGAAUGCGUAGAGAUCGGGAAGAACACCCGUGGCUAAGGCGGCUCUCUAGUACGGUACUGACGCUGAGACGCGAAAGCGUGGGGAGCGAACAGG
rnacentral:rRNA from 1 species